CAUCACUUUGCUGUUUUACUUAUUACACUAUAAAGCGGACAAAAUACGAGGAAUAAUGCUGGAAAAGCACCACAGAAACACUCAGAGGGAUUUGUCUUGGGGAGACAGAAUAAACCAGUCCCCUUAACGUUACAUGUAGGGAAAGAAAAGAUGAAUAUGCUGUCCUACAAUGAGCCUAACAUUAAAAUGGAAAGGUCCACAAUGCUCAAUCCCAGCUCUGCUCUGAGGUCGGAGGAAGGCUGGCAAACAGCUGGGACAACAGGAAGCCUCCGGAACCUCAAAAGAUUUAAUAAUCAGGACUUCAGCCACCUGCGAGCCUUGUGUCUGAGCCAAGGCCGGCUGUUUGAGGAUGACACCUUCCCUGCUCACAUCAGCUCCAUCGGUGCCAGCCUGCUCCCAGAGGACCAGCUGCAGCAAAUAGAGUGGAGGAGGCCAACUGAACUUCGAAGAAAUCCCUGUUUGAUCAUGGAUGGAGUUAGCAGAUUUGAUAUUAUUCAAGGACUCAUAGGUGACUGCUGGGUGCUGGCUGCCCUGGGAUCCCUGACAAUGCAGAAGCGAUUUUUGGAAAAUGUUUUACCAAAGGACCAAGGAUUCCAGAGUGACUAUGCUGGGAUAUUCCAUUUCCGGUUCUGGCAAUUUGGAGACUGGAUGGAUGUGGUGAUAGAUGACCGUCUGCCUUUCCUAAAUGGGAGCUACCUGUCUGUACACCCUCGAACAUCAAACGAAUUCUGGCCAUCCUUGCUGGAAAAAGCAUAUGCCAAAUUGCGGGGCUCCUACCAGAACUUGCACGGAGGCUACAUUUCUGAUGCUUUAGUGGACUUCACAGGUGGAGUCCAACUUCAGUUUUCAUUAAAGAAACCCCCUCCUGAUCUGGAGGAGAUACUGAAAGCUGCUGGCAAAUCUCGGUGUAUGAUGGGGUGUAGCACCUCAGGACAGAUGAGGAACACAGAACUGAGGAAUGGAAUUGUACAGGGUCAUGCCUACACUGUCACAGGAGCAGUGAAGAUACGCUACAAGAAUGGCUGGGAACACAUCAUCAGAAUCUGGAAUCCAUGGGGACGUGGGGAGUGGAAGGGGCCCUGGAGUGACAACUCUCCAGAGUGGAACUAUGUUGAGCCUCAAAUCAAGGAAGACCUCUGCAUAAAAAAAGAUGAUGGAGAAUUCUGGAUGUCCUGUGAAGACUUUUGUGAGCAGUUUUCCUGGCUGUGUAUAUGUAACAGCACCCCAACGUUUCUGGACUUUGGAGAUCAGUGUGGCAUGACAUGGUCCGUGGACAGGCACAUCGACCUGUGGAGUAAUUCACUCUCCACAGGCAGGAACAACUCUUCCCUCGCAGGUGCAGUUUCGAAGAACCCUAAGUAUUUCUUCGAAGUGACAAGUAAUGCUCCCCAAAGCUAUAAUGUGGUCAUUUCACUCAUGCAAAAACAUGCUGAGGGUAUGCAGGAUGCACAGACAUCGAGGAUUGGCUUUUCAAUCACAAAGGAGAACUCCAAAGUUCUGAAACAAGAUUUUUCUCUUACUCGAGAUGUCACCAACUACUUUACUUUGAGUCCAGGAACCUAUGCUGUCAUUCCUGCUACAACAGCGCGCCAAGAUUUUGAAUUCGUCUUACGAAUUUUCUUGAAGAAUGAAUGCUACAAUGAGAACUCAGACUCCCAGAUCAGCCCAAUGCUGCCAACGGUUGUACCAAGACAGAACCAGGACAGCUCCUAUAAGGCUAUCUUCCUAAGAUAUGCUAAACAGGGCUCAUCUAUUGAUGCCUCGCAGCUGCGACAACUCCUUAAUGAAGUGCUCCUGCAAGAUGAAAUGGCCAGCCUUGGAGGAAAAUUCAGCUUUGAUUCAUGCAGAGGCAUUUUAGCUCUGAUGGAUACGAAUGCGAAUGGACGACUCACGCUGCAGGAGUUCGGGAGCCUCUGGCAAAAACUCACCAAGUACAUGGAUAUCUUCAGGAGGGAAGACAAAAAUAAUUCUGGAUUUCUUGACAUAUAUGAACUGAAGAGUGCAAUACAGACAGCAGGUCUGGCCAUCAACGAGCAAAUCCUGCACCUGGUGUCCCUGCGUUUUGGUGAUGUUACCAGGAGAAUUGGCUUCUCUGACUUCAUGUGCUGCAUGCUGCGCCUUGAAACCAUGACCUAUGCAUUUCAAAACUUAGCAAAUGGUGGACCACAACUUUUCGUGACGGCAAUGGAGUGGCUGACACUUGUCAUGUACAUCUGAAGACUUGUCUGAGCUCAAUGUGGCUGGUGAGAAAUCUCCUCAGUACUAUACACACUGGGACGAAAGGGGCCUGGAGAGUUUACCUGAAUUUCCCAACUUUGCUAGUUGGUUCUAGUGAAGGACUCUGCUUUUUCCUACAAAACUUGUCCAGUUUAUUCAUCCAUAAACCACCUCAGCUACUGUGCUUCUGGCAAUCCACUGGAAUGCAGCUGUUCCCAGUUGCAACGGUAAAGCAUUAGUGCUGGUCCCAGACAGUUAGCACUGAGGAGAAAACGGGGACAAAAACCCAGUCCUUAGAAAAAAGGCACAAUGAAGAGCCAGAAGCCUCCUGCCAUUGUGUUGAGGUUGAAUCCAGGAACUCACUGAGCACCCUUGGGCAAAGUCACUCACUUGUCAUACCAACCCUGAUCAAAACUGAGUGAAGAAAAAUAAAAAAAACAUGCCCCCUCUUCCCCCAGGAUUUUAAUUGGAAUUCAGGAACUGCAUCCAUAUGAGUCUUCUUAUAGUCAGGUAUUGUGAUAAAUAAUAACACAUAAGCAGAAUUUCUGGUAUCUCACAUCCUAUUUCUGAAGGUCGUUGACAUUGGAUGCCAGCUUCAGUGAGAAGUUAAAGGAGAAAUACAUAACCUAUUACAGGCCCCAGGGGAGAGAGCAUGGUGGAUUCAGACCCAAGACAGGGACAACUCUGUGCCUUUCAUCCUUGGCUGCAGGACAUCAUUCAUGCUCAGCUGCUCCUCUGUCUUGUCUGCUAAUUGCAUCUGGUAGACACAACUGCAGCAGCAGCUGAGCUUUACUGCCCAUCACUGUGAAGCUUUCUCCCCUCUGAGCUCUGCUUGUACAUAGUUAUUUACCUAAAUGUUUGCCUUUUGCAGACUUGCCUUGGACAAAACUCUUUCCCUUUGUCACAACAAAUCUGUAUUUUGAUGUAUUGAUGUUGUAUAGAAACAUGUUAUUCAUAACACAACACCUGCCCCUUGCACCACACAAUGUCAUUAUGUAAAUAUGAGACUCAAAGCACCUUGUUUUGGGGGAUGAAGUUGCUUAAAUUGCUGUCUGAAAAAGAUAUUCAUAGUCUAUUUAGUCUCCUUUCUUCCUUUCAUGAAUCAUUCAUAAACUGAUCAUAAGUUCUGCAAAUAUAUCAUUAAUCACAACUUUCACUUAACGGUUUUGAAUGAAAUUAUACCUUUAGGGUGUUCGUAAGCAGUUCACAUCAACAAUUUACCAGUUGCUUACAACUGGUGAUUGGGCAGUCACAGCAUGGGCCCCUCAGAGAACUGAAACUCUAUCAGUUAGAGCCUAAAAAAUCAUGAGUGAUGUGAUGACAUGUGGAUUUUGUUGGAAAAAAAUCUGUUGGAAAAAAUACCCUCAAUUAUUUCUAAAGACUGGUCUCCAGCUGUCUGUGUUCUGAAUGAGUCUCUUUGCCUUAGUUUUAGGUGGCUUUUCUGCUCCUUGGUGUGAGACAGCUUGAAGCCAUCCCAUACAGAAGCCAUCCGUGGGGCUCUUGAAAAAACAAUAACUGUGAAGGCAUGAGGUCAGGCUUUCUUAUGGAUAGUCACUUAUGCACAAUGGCACUCAGAUGUGUGGACUGAUAGCCCUUCUCAGGUGAAUUGGAAUUGUUUUGGAGAGAGAAGAAAGAGAUCCAUGGGGAAGCUGGUAGUACCUAAUGGCCUAGGCAGGCUGGAAGUGCUGACUGUAGUCGCCUCUCAUCUUUGUGUAAAUAGUAUGGCUGGUUUUCCUGCUUCACAGAAGCCAGGAGCAGCUCUGUUAACUCCCUUGCAAAUAAGAACAGAGUCAGGCCGUUUAUUUGCAAGGACUGUUUAUUGCUUAGGUAAUAAAACCAAUUACGACA